rnacentral:rRNA from 1 species
AGUGAACGCUGGCGGUAGGCCUAACACAUGCAAGUCGAACGGCAGCACAGUAAGAGCUUGCUCUUACGGGUGGCGAGUGGCGGACGGGUGAGGAAUACAUCGGAAUCUACUUUUUCGUGGGGGAUAACGUAGGGAAACUUACGCUAAUACCGCAUACGACCUACGGGUGAAAGCAGGGGAUCUUCGGACCUUGCGCGAUUGAAUGAGCCGAUGUCGGAUUAGCUAGUUGGCGGGGUAAAGGCCCACCAAGGCGACGAUCCGUAGCUGGUCUGAGAGGAUGAUCAGCCACACUGGAACUGAGACACGGUCCAGACUCCUACGGGAGGCAACAGUGGGGAAUAUUGGACAAUGGGCGCAAUCCUGAUCCAGCCAUACCGCGUGGGUGAAGAAGGCCUUCGGGUUGUAAAGCCCUUUUGUUGGGAAAGAAAAGCAGCAGGUUAAUACCCCGCUGUUCUGACGGUACCCAAAGAAUAAGCACCGGCUAACUUCGUG